rnacentral:lncRNA from 1 species
UGAUUUUAGUCGUACAUGUAUAUGAAUGAUAAUUCAAGACGGCGAAAAAUGUGUGUGGUUUUUUUUUAUUAUUAUUAUUUGCUCCAGUUAACCUCACACACAAUUAGUUCAAUUGGCGACUUCUGAUGGCGAUGUCCCUCCGGGAUUUGAAAAGUUAUAGCUGAUCGAAACCACAUUUACACCUACCGACAAACUUAUAACAUAUCUUUGGAACCCUGAAAAAGUACGUGUUGUUCUUCUGUCAAAUUUCCUGUUUGGCUAACAAGACUGAUAUACAAUGCAGUAUGUAAUGUUCGUCACCGCUAUCUAUACAGUAGCCGCAUGUUUGCUUUCACAAAGCUCCUGCUUUCUGGUAGAUGACCACUGACCAGCUCCAUCACCGUACACGUGUUCUUCCAUUUCUA